rnacentral:rRNA from 1 species
CGGGGUGCAGCAGGCGCGAAAACUUUGCAAUAAGCGAAAGCUUGACAGGGCUAUCCCGAGUGCCAUCCGCUGAGGAAGGCUUUUACCCAGUCUAGAACGCUGGGGGAAUAAGGAGAGGGCAAGUCUGGUGUCAGCCGCCGCGGUAAUACCAGCUCUCCGAGUGGUGUGGAUGUUUAUUGGGCCUAAAGCAUCCGUAGCUGGCUAAGUUAGUCCCUUGUUAAAUCCACCGAAUUAAUCGUUGGAUUGCGGGGGAUACUGCUUGGCUAGGGGACGAGAGAGGCAGACGGUAUUUCCGGGGUAGGGGUGAAAUCCUAUAAUCCCGGGAAGACCACCAGUGGCGAAGGCUGUCUGCUAGAACGCGCCCGACGGUGAGGGAUGAAAGCUGGGGGAGCGAACCGGAUUAGAUACCCGGGUAGUCCCAGCUGUAAACGAUGCAGGCUAGGUGUUUGGACGGCCACGUGCCGUUCUAGUGCCGCAGGGAAGCUGUUAAGCCUGCCGCCUGGGGAGUACGAUCGCAAGAUUGAAACUUAAAGGAAUUGGCGGGGGAGCACAAGGGCGAAUCGC